CCUACGGGCGGCAGCAGUGGGGAAUAUUGCGCAAUGGGGGAAACCCUGACGCAGCAACGCCGCGUGCGGGAUGACGGCCUUCGGGUUGUAAACCGCUUUCAGCAGGGAAGAACAUCGACGGUACCUGCAGCAGACGCGCCGGCUAACUACGUGCCAGCAGCCUCGGUACUACGUAGGGGGCGAGGGUUAUGCGGAUUCAUUGGGCGUAAGGCGCGCGAUGGCGGGUGCCUAAGCGGGACCUCAACCCUCGGGGCUCAACCCAGAGCCGGGUCCCGAACUGGGAGCCUCGAGUGCGGUAGGGGAGAUCGGAAUGCCCGGUGUAGCGGUGGAAUGCGCAGAUAUCGGGAAGAACACCGAUGGCGAAGGCAGAUCGCUGGGCCGCCACUGACGCUGAGGCGCGAAAGCUAGGGGAGCGAACAGGAUUAGAUACCCGAGUAGUC
rnacentral:rRNA from 1 species